rnacentral:rRNA from 1 species
UACGGGGGAUCCAAGCGUUAUCCGGAUUUAUUGGGUUUAAAGGGUGCGUAGGCGGCUUUUUAAGUCAGGGGUGAAAGACGGUAGCUCAACUAUCGCAGUGCCCUUGAUACUGAAGAGCUUGAAUGUACUUGAGGUAGGCGGAAUGUGACAAGUAGCGGUGAAAUGCAUAGAUAUGUCACAGAACACCAAUUGCGAAGGCAGCUUACUAAAGUAUGAUUGACGCUGAGGCACGAAAGCGUGGGGAUCAAACAGG